rnacentral:tRNA from 1 species
CGCAUAGCUCAGCUGGUUUAGAGCAUCUGCCUUACAAGCAGAGGGUCGGGGGUUCGAAUCCCUCUACGCCC